AUUCCCACGCUUUCUUUUUCCCUCUGCAAAGUUUUCCAACUGUGGAGACCGCGUGGACGGCCUUUCGGGCAUUUUUCUCCAGCAGCCGAGGCGUGUUGAAACAGAUAAGCACCACAAAAAUAUCUGUUCAGCUCGUUCUGUUUGGAAUUAGCGGGUUUUGAUUUUGCUGACUGAGGAGGUUGGAUCAUGCAACAUGGUUCUUGACAGUGUCCUGUCUUCUCCUCACAGGAGGUCCCCAUCAUUCCGAAAGGCCUUUCCUCCGAAUGAGUUGGGUAGUUGGUCGACACUCAUUCAGCGACAUCGCUUCCUCCUCACAGCACUUGUCCUCUUGACUUUUCUUUGCACGAUUUACCUUUACUUUGCUGUCACCUUAGGCUCUUCCUCUUGCUCUGGAUUGACUGGGGCGCAAAAGGCUCAGUGUCAACUGGAGCUUGCAAAGACUUCCAUGGCUAAAGGGAAACUGAAAAUUCUUUAAUACUCGGGUUAGUGCUCCGAAAUUCGUGCAUUUUGUUUGUAAUUCUGAACAAUUUGGGUUGAAGAUUUAAAAAGAGAAAAAAAAAAGAAAGAAAGAAAAUGAGUUCAAGUUAGUCAGUUUGCCAUACAAAGUUGUGUAGUAAAAUGCAAGUGAACUCUGUAUACAUUAUUAUCUGAGAAAUGAAUUUCUUAACACAAAGAAUGCAUUAACCAGUCAUUUUGUGUU